GUGUUCACUUGGCAAGAAACUUACUUCGCUGAGAAACCCUUCUAGCAAGGAGGUAUUUCUACUCUACAAAUGAAUACCAACACAUCUGCAUUGACAAGUCGAAGCUUAUAUCCUUCUAUGGUGUUUUUGCUCUUUGAAAAUGUUAAUAAAAACUUAAUGUGGAAAAAAACAACUUUUUCCAAAUAUGUGUACCAAUGGGCCCGAGGCAACUCAUACUUGCUUAUAAAAUAAAAUAGGUCACUCACAUCAAUCAUAUCAUCUUAGCACAUUUUUUCCAAAUUAGGAAUUCUCCAUCCAUCACACCACAUUGUGGCAUCCCCUUUCCAAACAUUUCCUUUUAAUACGCUCUUUAACAUGAUAAGCAGAUCUAAUAGAAUACAUUAGUGUCACUUUCCAGUGAUGGAGUGUUUCCUCCUGUUGCAAGCCUCCUUGAGUUCGGAGAAGCAUUUUGACUAGCUUUCUCUCUAACAAUGAUCCAUUGCACAAUGAAAAUAUGACAGUUAAAAAGAAAAUAGGAUAGUUGUCUCACUGCUUCCAAAACCCCUCCUGGGUGUUAGCCUGAAAAACAGUGCCAAGGGUUCCUGUGUCUCCUCUCCACGUGUCACACAUGUAGAAGCUCAAAAGAUAUGUGUCUCUAAAAACAAAGUAAUAAAUCCGAUUCGUACAUGAGGAGAGUGUUUAAAUUUAGCCUGUCGGCUCAGUAGCGUUGCACAUGAGAACAUAUUAUUCUGUAUAGAUCAAAAGCUUACACUGGGCUUCAUUUUAAAACCACAUUGCUUGCAGAACACUUCCAAACCUCCUCGGUCCAAGAUCCUUGGCUUCAUAUGUGCUCGACUUGACUGUCCGAACCCUGUUACUGCCUUUCGUGAGUGGUGUUGGACUCCAGGGAGAGGCAGGCUCUGUUAAUAACCGGCUUGAGGCAGUUUCUUUGGAAAGCUGGCUGGCUGGGAAAAUUUGAUGACAACUCUUUCCAACCAGGGUCACCACUCAAGCCAUGCUUAGAUAUGGACAUUUCCUCAAGCUCCUCGUAGAGACUUUUCACACCCAUUCAUCAAAUACUUCCGGCCUUCCACUUUCUGUCUGUGCAAGGACUCUACCUCCUGCCUAUAAAUUUAAAUACAGCACAAGCCUGCUAGAGACACUGAAAUGUGUGUGGAAGUCACCCAUCCAACAGGAAGUUCAGGCUGGUGUGCAACCAUCUUGUCAUGACUGUGGAUAUGGGUGCCGCGAUGAAGCCACAAUGGAGCCCAGUCACUGUGACACACGGAGCUGCCAUGGAUGGUGCUAUGGUUUGAAUGUGGCUUGUCUCCCUCAAGACUCAUGGGAAAUGUGAUGUCAUCAUGGCCGCAUUGGGAGGCAGGGUCUUCAGGGAUGGUCAGUUGGUCAAGGAUUUGUGCCUUUCUUGUAAGAGUGGGUUAAUUCUAAUCGGAGGGGUGGUUAGUUAUUGGGAGAGUAGGGUACUACAAAAGUGAGUUUGCCUUCUUUGGCUCUUUCCUGCUUCCUCCUUCACCAUGUGAUUCCUCCUGCCCUUUCUCCGUGGUGUGCUGCAGCAGGAGACCCUCACCAGAAGCCAAGCCAGUGCCAGCACCAUGGCCUUGGGCUUCCAGCCUCCAGGAUAAUAAAGCA
ensembl:lincRNA